GGCGGCGUAGCUCAGUGGUAGAGCGCACGACUCAUAAUCGUGUGGUCGGUGGUUCGAUCCCACCCGCCGCCACCA
rnacentral:tRNA from 2 species